CCGAAAACCCACCCGGGGCAGCCCCGGCCCUUCCCCUGUCAGCCCUGCCCUGCCCGUGCCUGGCAUUGCUGUCUGUCCCCUCUCCAUCUCAAUCCCCAUCGCCACUACUUUGCCGUCCAAACCUCAUCCCCAUCCCUUCCCCAUCCCAUCCAUUCUCCAUCCCGUCUCUUCCCCAUCCUCAUCCUUCUUUCCAAUUUCCAUCCAUACCCAAUCGCCAUUUCCAUUUCUUCCACAUUCCAUUCUCAUCCCUAUCUCCAUCCUCACUCCUUCCCCAUUCCAUCACCAUUCCUAUUCCUUCCCCAUCCCCACCCCUACCACUUCUGCAUCCAAACCCCAUACCCAUAUCUUCCCCAUCCUCACUCCCCAUCCCAUUCCAUCCCAUUCCCAUCUCCAUUCCUUACCUAUCACAUUCCCAUCCCUAUCUCCAUCCUCAUCUUUUCCUCACCCCAUCCCCAUUCCUAUCCCAUCCCCAUUCCCACUCCCAUUCCUAUUCCUUCCCUGUCCCAUCCCAUCUCUUUCCCACUCCAGCCCCAUUCCCAUCCCCAGUCCCAAUCCCCAUUUCCACUUGUUAAUCAUCCCAUUCCCAUCCCUAUCUCCAUUCCCAUCUCUUUCCCACUGCAUCCCUAUUCCCAUUCCCAUCCCCAUCUCCACCCCCUUUCCCAUUCCUAUUCCCAUUUACAUUUUCAUCCCCAUCUUCAUCCCCAUUCCUAUCCCCAUCCCCAUUCCAAUUCCUAUUCCCAUCCCCACCUUCAUCCCAUCCCCAUUCCCAUUCCCAUUCCAUCCCCAUUCCCACUCCCAUUCCCACUCCCAUCCCCACUCCCAUCCCCACUCCCAUCCCCAUUCCCAUUCCCAUUCCCAUCCCCAUUCCCAUUCUCACUCCCAUCCCCAUUCCCACUCCCAUUCCCAUUCCCAUUCCCAUUCCCAUCCCACUCCCAUCCCCAUCCCCAUUCCCACCUACCCCCCCCGGCUGCCCUCAUUCCCGGUGAGCUUUGCCACUUGCUCCCCAUGGAGCCCCCACCCAUGGGUGCUGUGGGUUUGGGGCUUACGAGCAGAGCUGCUCUGGGUGGAGGAGGACAUCCGCUCCUGAGUGCAGCCCAUCCCCAGGAAUGCCCCUCUGAGAGCUCAUUCAUCCCCCUCCAUUCAUUUGCAAACGCCUUUGGCUCCGUCAGCAGCUCUUCCCUCGGGCGCUGCCUCUUCCCCUGGCUUAAAGGGAUUUUCUGUCUGUGA
rnacentral:lncRNA from 1 species